rnacentral:rRNA from 1 species
GCAAGUCGAACGGAAACGUUAGUUGCUUGCAAGUAGACGUCGAGUGGCGGACGGGUGAGUAAUGCAUGGGAAUCUGCCUAUUAGUGGGGGAUAACACGGGGAAACUCGUGCUAAUACUGCAUACACUCUUUGGAGGAAAGCGGGGGAUCCUCGGACCUCGCGCUAAUAGAUGAGCCCAUGUCGGAUUAGCGUGUUGGUAGGGUAAAGGCCUACAAAGGCGACGAUCCGUAGCUGGUUUGAGAGGAUGAUC